UUUCAGCACUUGAAGGAGUCAUUUGGAGUUUCUGUAGUAGGAAUAGCCGUGCAAAGUGAACUACGAAGUUGAAGAUCAAGGUAUGAGCUUUGCAAUACAUUUAUUUAUUUAUGCAUGCAGGGUGGUAAUUAGUUCGUCCUUUAGCUCGUUAUUAGCUAUGUGACGGUAGUGCUUAGAGGUUAGAAAUAAUUUCAGACGAGAGAUGUAGCAUUUAAACUAUUUUUUGAAAUAGUAGGUUGAAGAUGUUGCAUCAAUGUUAGGUGCGUCCAUUAGUAUUGACAUGCGGGAAAUCUUAAUACGGUAAUUAAGAAAAAAUUGUACUGUAAUUGUUUAUUGCAUGUGGUAUGUUAUUUCAUGUGGUAUGUUAUUUUAUGUGGUAUGUUUAUUAAUAAGUCUAUAGUUAGGAAACCGUAGGUCUACUUUGUUAUAUCACAAUAAUCUAAAUUUUAUAUGUUAAGAUUAGGUGCUAAUGUACUUAAUGAUGUAUGUAAUUAGGUAAAAUAAUUCAUCUUAGUAGCAAACAAGGAGGAGAAGACGUGAUUGAAGAAAUUGUGUUUCCAUUUUCGCUGUCCCAUUUUGAGGUGAUGAACACAUACAUGGAAGUGCUAUUUUCAUACUUUUGUUAGCAGGAAGAAAAAUCCGUGUGUAAUAUUGUUGUUAAUGUGAUAAUAGGUUGACGAGGUUCAUAUAGUACUGGCGACGGAUAUUUAUUGAAACUAUUUUGACGCUUAAUUGCAUUCGCAAGCACAUCCAUAUUGGAGCUAAGGUGAAAAAUGACACUGUAAUUUUGUUAAUAUUUUUUGUAUUGAUGUACUAUUGUGAAUAAUGUGCAUGCU
rnacentral:lncRNA from 1 species